ACGCGAAAGAAACCCUUACCCUACCCCUUGACAUGGCCAGGAAGCAAUAAGACCGAGAGGUGAGUGUGCCCGAAAGGGAGCCUGGACACAGGUGCUGCAUGGCUGUCGUCAGCUCGUGUCGUGAGAUGUUGGGUUAAGUCCCGCAACGAGCGCAACCCUUGUCACUAGUUGCUACGCAAGGGCACUCUAGUGAGACUGCCGGUGACAAACCGGAGGAAGGUGGGGAUGACGUCAAGUCCUCAUGGCCCUUAUGGGUAGGGCUUCACACGUCAUACAAUGGCGCAUACAGAGGGCUGCCAACCCGCGAGGGGGAGCCAAUCCCAGAAAGUGCGUCGUAGUCCGGAUUGCAGAUACUGCAACUCGACUGCAUGAAAGUCGGAAUCGCUAGUAAUCGCGGAUCAGCAAUGUCGCGGUGAAUACGUUCCCGGGUCUGUACACACCG
rnacentral:rRNA from 1 species